rnacentral:tRNA from 1 species
GGCAGGGUAACCCUGUGGUUAAGGCACUAGACUCAAGUUCCAUAGAUCUGGGUUCAUUUCUCAGUUCUGCCA